rnacentral:rRNA from 1 species
CAGGAGCCGAUAACCAAAAUAAAGCACAGAGCAGAGCAGAAAAUAUGUUAGCCUUAGGUAAAAUUUGAAACUCGGUGUAUUUACUAGAAAUCUUAACUCUAAAUCCUCUGGCAUAAACAAGGAUUAGAUACCCUUCUAUACAGAGGACCACUGAGGCAGGGUAGUAACUAGCUAUGUCCUUCAAACCCAAAGGAUUUGGCGGUGCUCUAUCAAAUCAGAGGAACCUGUGUAGUAAUCGAAACUACUCGUUAUACCUUACCAGGGCUGAGCUUGUAUACCGUCGUCUAGGUAAGGCUAAAAGGAUUUACCACCAAGGGUCCACACCGAUGGCAGAUCAAGGUGCAGCCUGCUCUGGGUCUCAUGGGUUACAAUCUACACAGAGCUGGACGGCUAGUUUCAAACCUGCCGUGAAAGAGGAUUUGACAGUAAUUUUGAGUUUAGUAAGCUAAAGUGAAGGAGCCAUAGAGCAUGCACAUAUCGCCCGUCACUCUCAUUAGGU